UACAGAGGGGGCAAGCGUUAUUCGGAAUUAUUGGGCGUAAAGGGCGCGUAGGCGGCUUGGCAAGUGGAAGGUGAAAUCCCUCGGCUUAACCGAGGAACUGCCCUCCAAACUGCUUGGCUUGAGACCGGGAGAGGUGAGUGGAAUUCCCAGUGUAGCGGUGAAAAUGCGUAGAUAUUGGGAGGAACACCAGUGGCGAAGGCGGCUCACUGGACCGGUACUGACGCUGAUGCGCGAAAGCGUGGGGAGCAAACGGG
rnacentral:rRNA from 1 species